UACGAAGGGGCUAGCGUUGCUCGGAAUGACUGGGCGUAAAGGGCGCGUAGGCGGAUGGCUUUGUCGGGGCGUGAAAUUCCAGGGCUUAACCUUGGGGCUGCGUUCGAGACGGGUUGUCUUGAGUGGGGAAGAGGGUCGUGGAAUUCCCGAGUGUAGAGGUGAAAUUCGUAGAUAUUGGGAAGAACACCGGUGGCGAAGGCGGCGACCUGGUCCUUGACUGACGCUGAGGCGCGAAAGCGUGGGGAGCAAACAGG
rnacentral:rRNA from 1 species